GGAAACUGCUUGUUUUGCUAAUUUUUUUACCGCUCUAGCUUUGCCGCUUUAGAUCUGUUCAAAACAGACAAGGAAGCUGGCUUGUCAGCUGUAUCUGCAUGAAGAUUCUUUCCUAUCUGCUUUUAUCCGGUUACAGACCGUCGCAGGACAGUAGGGAAAGAUUGCCAUUAAGUGAUGCUGCCAAUGCUUGUGUAUGAAUGCUUGUGUAUGAAGCUGACUGCCUGCCUGUAGAAUACACAUAAAACCUGAGUGACCUGUUCAUGUACAUAAUGCUUUCAUGACUGACUUGCCAAGUGUGAAGAAAAUGCUGCUUGUUUUAGCACUGCUGCAAGACAAAUGAAGACUCCUAUCAGAGUCAUGUUGGACAAGUACAAUUGAUAUUCAACAAGAGAGAAUAAAAGUUGCCUGCUAGCAGUCUGCAGCCUGACACAAGAACACUGACGCUUUUUCCGCUAAUUCGUAGAGACCAAAGGUGUGACCUUGGAUAUUUUGCCCAUCACCUGUAAACACAGUAGAAAUUACCAGACAGUCGCCUGUACUAGGACUUAGUAAUCUUGUGAUACAAA